rnacentral:tRNA from 1 species
GCCGGGGUAGCUCAGUGGUAGAGCACAUGACUGAAAAUCAUGGUGUCGGCAGUUCAAUCCUGCCCCCCGGCA